GAUCCUGGCUCAGGACGAACGCUGGCGGCGCGCUUAACACAUGCAAGUCGAGCGAUGAAAUUUUGACAGAUCCCUUCGGGGUGAAGACAAAAUGGAUUAGCGGCGGACGGGUGAGUAACACGUGAGUAACCUGCCUUAGACAUUGGGAUAGCCUCGGGAAACCGGGAUUAAUACCAAAUAAAAUCAUAGGUGCACAUGGCACUAAUGAUCAAAACUCCGGUGGUCUAAGAUGGACUCGCGUCCCA
rnacentral:rRNA from 1 species